GUCAUUAGGGAAAUGCAAAUGAAAACCACAAUGAGAUACCACAUUGCACCCUGUAGAAUGACUUAAAAAGCAAAACACUGACAACAGCAAGUAUGGUGGGAGUAAGGAAUAACCAGGACAGUAAUAGGUUACUGGUAAGAACGCAAAAUUAUACAGCCACUUCAGAAGACAGCUUUGCCCGGCUGUUUCACCCAAAUGAAAUGAAACUUACAUAUUCAGAACACCCUUAUAGAAGCUCUUACACCCUUAUAGAAGGUCUGUUCAUAACCAAAUUGGAAAUGUCGGGGCCAAGGGAAGGCUUCCCCUUUGCCCUAUGAAGUUUCGCUGAAAAUUACUGACAAGAGGCAAAUUAACAGGAGAAAAGGCAUAUAAAUUUAUUUGAUCACAGUUUUAUGUAACAUGACAGCCUUCAGAAUGAAGACCCAAAGAUGGAGGAGAAAUUGUCUACUAUGUUUAGGUUUAACGAAAUAUGUACAGGCAUGCAGAAACAUGACUGGACAAAAAGGUAUGAUCUACUGCUCAAGAGAAGACAACACAAGGCCUGUCCGUCCAGAUUCUUCUUGGCCUCUCUGAGCAGCAUUCUUUCCUUCUGGGUAUGGGGCAGGACCCUCUCUGGAAUGGGGGUUUUAUGACCUAUAAUCAAACAAGGUAGGUCAGAUGUUUUAUGGCCAGUUUUUACACAGAAAGGCAGAGGCAAAAUUAAGAGUAAUAUAUUUAGGUUUUAUGGUUGGCUUUGCGGAAAAGGGGUUCUGGUGUCUAUGACCCGCCUGGGGCAACAGGGAUUCUAGUUUCUAUGGCAACCCUCAAGGGAGAACAGGACUGAAAGGUGGGCAGGAGAAGGUCAAAGAAAAAGUUCUUCUAAGGCUGUUUCUGAGGCCUUCAUUUUAUGGUAUUGUUUUCUGAGUCCCAAGAGAAACAAUCCAAAUGUCCCUUAAUUAGGGACUAAAUGAAAACCAAAACCUAACUCUGGUGCACCUACACAGCAAGGCUGAACCUCAAAUUUAUUCAGUGGAAGCAGCCAGACUCAAAAGACUUUGCCUAUCAUGUAAUUCCCUUCUCUUCAUAGGACAUAGACUGGGAGGUGGCCAGGGGCUUGUGGUGACCUUGACUACAAAAGAGAAUGGGGAAUUUCUCAGGACAAUAAAAGUUGUACAUAUCUUGAUUUUGGUAGUGAUAACAUGGCUGUAUCUGCUCAUCAGAAUUUACAGAACUAUACACUAAAAAGAGUGAAUUUUACCGUAUGUAAAUUAUACCUUUUAUUUUUUUUUUAAGGAAAAAAUCUUCCUGUGACUUCCUACAACUUUUGGGAUAAGGACCAAAGUAUUUCAAAUGACCUACAAGAUCCUCUAUCAUCUGGACUAUGGACUUACUUGCUCACUCCAGCUGUCCUAUGCUUUCUUCAGCGCCUCCAGUGUAGCCUGCUCUCUUUCACCUCAGGGCUAACUUCUAUUUUUUCUCCAGGUCGAAUGAUCUAAAUAUCACUUCCUCAGGGUGGAAGGAAAUCUUCUGGGACUAGCUAGUCAAGCUAUGAUAAGAGAAACAAGAACUGGAUUUAACCUUUGGUUGCAAACAACUAAAAACUGGACGGCUGGAGAUAUCAUGCUACCAGACUUCAAACUAUAAGGCCACAGUAACCAAAACAGCAUGGUACUGAUACAAAAACAGACACAUAGACCAAUGGAACAGAAUAGAGAACUCAGCAAUAAGACCGCACACCUACAACCAUCUGAUCUCCGACAAACCUGACACGAACAAGCAAUGGGGAAAAGAUUCCCUGUUUAAUAAAUGGUGUUGGGAGAAUUGGCUAGCCAUAUACAGAAAAUUGAAACUGGGCUCCUUCCUUACACCAUAUACAAAAGUUAAGUCAAGAUGGAUUAAAGACUUAAAUGUAAACCCCAAAACUAUAAAAAUCCUAGAAGAAAAUCUAGGCAAUACCAUUCAAGACAUCGGCAUGGGCAAAGAUUUCACGACAAAAACACCAAAAGCAACUGCAACAAAAGCAAAAAUUGACAAAUGGUAUCUAAUUCAACUAAAGAGCUUCUACGCAGCAAAAGAAACUAUUAUCAGAGUGAACAGACAACCUACAGAAUGGGAGAAAAUUCUUGCAAUCUAUCCAUCUGACAAAGGUCUAAUAUCCAGAGUCUACAGGAAACUUUAUAGGAAAAAAACAACCCCAUUAAAAGUGGGCAAAGGACAUGAACAGAUACUUCUCAAAAGAAGACAUUCAUGUAGCCAACAAACAUGAAAAAAAGCUCAACAUCACCGAUGAUUGGAGAAAUGCAAAUCUAAACCACAAUGAGAUACCAUCCCAUGCCAAUCAGAAUGGGAAUUAUUUAAAAGUCCAGAAACAAAAGAUGCUGGUAAGGUUUCAGAGAAAAAGGAACACUUUUACACUAUUGGUGGGAGUGUAAGGAAGACAGUGUGCCAAUUCCUCACAGAUCUAGAAGCAGAAAUGCCAUUUGACCCAGCAAUCCCAUUACUGGGUAUAUACCUACAGAAAUAUAAAUCAUUCUAUUAUAAAGCUACAUGCAUAUGUAUGUUCACUGCAGCACUAUUCACAAUAGCAAAGACAUGGAAUCAACCCAAAUGCCCAUCAAUUAUAGACUGGAUAAAGAAAAUGUUAUACAUAUACACCAUGGAAUACUAUGCAGCCAUAAAAAGGAACGAGGUCAUGUCCUUUGCAGGGACAUGGAUGGAGCUAGAAGCCAUUAUCCUCAGCAAACUAACGCAGGAACAGAAACCCAAGCACCACAUGUUCUCGCAAGUGGGAGCUGAACAAUGAGAAUAUAUGGACACAUACUGGGGAAAAACACA
ensembl:lncRNA PAXBP1-AS1 PAXBP1 antisense RNA 1